AAAAAGACAAACCCUGGUUUCCGUGCCCAACGUUUGACCGUUCGUCUUAUUUAAAAAAAUUAUGAAAAAAAAUAAAAAGACAAGUCACGCAUAAAAUAUUAAUCAUGUUUUAUCAUCUAACAACAAUGAAAAUACGAAUUAUAAAAAAAAUUCAUAUAAGACGGACAGUCAAAGUUGGACACGCAAACCCAGGGUUUGCCUUUUU
rnacentral:pre_miRNA from 1 species